GAGCUUUACUACAUUGGUCCACCCCCAUAUUGCUCUUGGUUGGUAUGGGCCGGCUGAAGCGGGAGGUAUAAAUGGCUACCGCUUCCCUUUUCCAACUUUUUGCCAGUGACCGCAGAGAGGGAGGACACACGCAGUCAUUUCAAAGGAAUCUCGACCCAAACACGCAUUUAAGAAACAGCGUGCUACGAAACUAUUUUAGCCAGUUCUCUGUGUGGACGGUGAUGUUGAUGCUGUUCUCCCGGUCAGUCACUUGUACCAUGGUCAAUACCUGCCCAAACAUCUCUCACUCUUCAGUGGAGUUCAGUGGUGAAGCUUCGAUUGGUGAGUGACUGUAAGCCGGGGUCCAGUUCAGUUUCCCUCUGGACGGCUGAUGUGUGUUCUGGAGGUGUAGGGAUGAAGGUCAAAAUAAUAAUAGCUAUUAAAUUUGGAUUCAGUCUUACUUUACGACCAUUAAAUAAACAAAUAUUAACAUUAAUUGACUUGAGUUCAAAAAUCUGCUCUCAUUCAGUUUGCUUGCUGUAUUAUUAUUUAGUUUUAUAUGAAUAAUGUUUUGCUUAAAAGUUAAAUUAGAGAUGUUUUCUUUUACAAUAUUCGCUUUUCGAUGCCUACAUCAAUGACUGAUUGGGAAUAGUCCAAAAGCUUCUUCCUGGGUUAAUGACUCUGAUAAAUCGUCACCGUAGAAUUAUAAGGUGCUAUCUGACAUAUUCUUAUUAAAUGGCAACUUAUUUACUUCAUGGGAUGUUUUUUAUAUAAGUCAUUUACAUUUGAAGAC
rnacentral:lncRNA from 1 species